rnacentral:lncRNA from 1 species
GAGGAAGAUGAUGAUGAUGAUGAAGAUGACACAGGGAUGGGAGAUGAGGGUGAAGAUAGUAAUGAAGGAACUGGUAGUGCCGAUGGCAAUGAUGGUUAUGAAGCUGAUGAUGCUGAGGGUGGUGAUGGGACUGAUCCAGGUACAGAAACAGAAGAAAGUAUGGGUGGAGGUGAAGGUAAUCACAGAGCUGCUGAUUCUCAAAACAGUGGUGAGAUUUUUAUUAGCCUUUUUUGAAUUGAAUAUCUCUGGUAUUUUCUAAACUAGAAUUGCACUUAAUUCUAAUAUAUAAAUUUAUUUAUUGAAUUGGUAAAAAGAGAUUGGCCCCUGUUCUAGCUUUGUGACUGUUGUGCUCUCAUAAAAAGUCUACUAUAUUUAUGAUUGUUAGGUGCUGUCAUUAUACUCUUUUCUGCCUCAUUGGGCUGCUGUAAGAUGCAAACAUUUUGUAACCCUUAC